UCCUCUUCUUCAUCUUUCGAUCAUCUUUUUGGUCCAAGAAACUCUUCCUCGUCUUCUUCAUCAACAACAGGAUUGUUCCAAUCCAUUUUCCCACCACCUGCAACGGGGGCUCAAGCAGACUUGGCAAAUCGAAAUGGAGCUGCCAAAUAUGAGCAUCCGAAUUUUGGGAUUUCAUGUGAGUUUAUUCACUAUUAGUGACUUUACUCAAGUGUUUAGGUCCUUUUGGAGUGUCAUUCCUUGAGAAAUUGUUUUAUUUCAACUUAUACUUAACUAUGAGCUCAAUGAAAUACUACUUCACGUAUUAAAAGUGAGAAAUUUGAUUGGGGCUACAGAUGAAAGAGGAGAAAUGAGGAAAAAUAAGGAGAAAAAGAAUUACCAAAAUGAAGAAACACAACCACCAUGCAACUUGAGCUCAUCCAUUUACUAUGGGGGCCAAGAAAACUAUCCUUCUUCAACACCACCACAAUCAACAAACAAUCCAGAUGCUUAUAAGAAAAAUGGAAAGGAAGGCGAUUCUGAAAGUGCUUCAAGAGGAAACUGGUGGGAAGGCUCAGUUUAUUACUAGUUAUCAAUUCUACCCGAUGCUGCACUCUAUAAAAAGGUAC